rnacentral:lncRNA from 1 species
AUUGCUGAUUUGGUAACCACCUCAGAGCCUACCCUAUUUAUUCCCAGCAUGGACCUAAAUCCACUUCAGCCAAAAAUGAACAAAGAAAUGAUGAAGAACAGAGCCUGUUUCUUUCUCAGUGGUGUACUCAGAAAAUGGAUGCAAGAGUAGAAGCUGAUCCUCGAGGCUUGCAAAAGUGGGGUUCUUUCUGAAAGUGAAGCCAGCAGCCAAGAGCCACCCUUCAGAAGAUAGAAGGAAGAGCAGCUGCAUGAGUGAUGGCCACAGCAAUGCAUGGGUCCUGUCUGUCCACGUAGUCCUCUCCAUCUGCCCGUAGCUUGCCAGGAAACUUUCUAUAAUAAUACCAAUACAACCAAAGACUAUUAUUCUGAACAGAAAACAAGAAAUACAGCUGGAGCUAUUUCCUAUCUACCUGAUGAAGGGCACUACCAGGCGGUCACUCUGGCUCUGUCCACCGAUGCCUGUGCCCACUUUGUGCGACGUAGCUUCCAUGGAGACAAGAGCAAUGGUAAUGGAAGAAGAAAGUCUGGAUGUACUCUUGCAGAAGCAGAAAGCUUCAUGGAACAAUAUUAAUCUUCUGGUCAUCUCUGUGCUGGUCUAGUUGCCCAUAAAGUUGUCAGAUUGACUUUGGAUUUAAAGCCUGAAAAUGAGUCCCAAGGAAAUCCGUUGACAUGAGGCCCAAGGAAGACAGUUUUUGGAAGGGGCAAGCAUAAUGAUUUGGAAUGAUGCCUAAUAAAAUAAAUGGUUGACCAGAAGAUUAAUAAUGUGUUGGUUUCUCAAUAGAAGAGGAGGAAAACAUGUUUUUAAGAUUCUUACCAAUAAGGCUCACUCCACCCAGUCCUGUGACUCAUGACUCACCUCCAAUCAAGAGAUGGACUCAGCUCAUGAGGACCAUUUUCCAUACCCCUAUGACUGCCUCCGCAACCAACCAGCAACACCCAUCACCUAGUCACCUGCCCACCAUACUAUCCUUGAAAAUCUCUAAUCUUCAAGCCUUCAGGGAGACUGAUUUGAAACAAAAGGGACCCUAGAAAUCUUCAGCCAUCCAAAAGAAGGCAAAAAAAAGAGUAUCAAGGAAAGAGGAUGGCAAACAGAAAAUGUAAAAGAAGAUGGUAGAAAUCACUUCAAGUUGGUAAUCACAAUAUAUGUAAAUAUAUUAAACACAUCCAUUAAAAGGCUAUGUGAUUAGAUUAAAA